rnacentral:rRNA from 1 species
AACGAACGCUGGCGGCGUGGAUAAGACAUGCAAGUCGAACGGGACUUAUAGAUAGCUUGCUAACUGUAAGUCUAGUGGCGGACGGGUGCGUAACACGUGAGCAACCUGCCCUUAAGUGGGGGAUAGCCCGAGGAAACUCGGAUUAAUACCGCAUGUGAUCUUCGGAUCAAAGGUGGCUUCGGCUGCCGCUUAAGGAUGGGCUCGCGGCCUAUCAGCUUGUUGGUGAGGUAACGGCUCACCAAGGCGACGACGGGUAGCUGGUCUGAGAGGACGAUCAGCCACACUGGAACUGAGACACGGUCCAGACACCUACGGGUGGCAGCAGUCGAGAAUCAUUCACAAUGGACGAAAGUCUGAUGGUGCAACGCCGCGUGGAGGAUGAAGGCCCUAGGGUCGUAAACUCCUGUCAUCAGGGAGUAAGCCUUGGUCGUUAAUAGCGUCCAAGGUUGAUAGUACCUGAAGAGGAAGGGACGGCUAACUUCGUGCCAGCCGCCGCGGUAACAC